rnacentral:rRNA from 1 species
GUGCCAGCAGCCGCGGUAAUACGUAGGGUGCAGGCGUUAAUCGGAAUUACUGGGCGUAAAGCGUGCGCAGGCGGCCUCUUAAGUCAGAUGUGAAAUCCCCGGGCUUAACCUGGGAACUGCGUUUGAAACUGGGAGGCUAGAGUGUGGAAGAGGGGGGUGGAAUUCCAGGUGUAGCAGUGAAAUGCGUAGAGAUCUGGAGGAACACCGAUGGCGAAGGCAGCCCCCUGGGCUGACACUGACGCUCAUGCACGAAAGCGUGGGGAGCAAACAGGAUUAGAUACCCCGGUAGUCC